rnacentral:rRNA from 1 species
GAUGAACGCUGGCGGCGUGCCUAAUACAUGCAAGUCGAGCGAACGGACGAGAAGCUUGCUUCUCUGAUGUUAGCGGCGGACGGGUGAGUAACACGUGGAUAACCUACCUAUAAGACUGGGAUAACUUCGGGAAACCGGAGCUAAUACCGGAUAAUAUUUUGAACCGCAUGGUUCAAAAGUGAAAGACGGUCUUGCUGUCACUUAUAGAUGGAUCCGCGCUGCAUUAGCUAGUUGGUAAGGUAACGGCUUACCAAGGCAACGAUGCAUAGCCGACCUGAGAGGGUGAUCGGCGACACUGGAACUGAGACACGGUCCAGACUCCUACGGGAGGCAGCAGUAGGGAAUCUUCCGCAAUGGGCGAAAGCCUGACGGAGCAGCGCCGCGUGAGUGAUGAAGGUCUUCGGAUCGUAAAACUCUGUUAUUAGGGAAGAACAUAUGUGUAAGUAACUGUGCACAUCUUGACGGUACCUAAUCAGAAAGCCACGGCUAACUACGUG